GUGGGGAAUUUUGGACAAUGGGCGCAAGCCUGAUCCAGCAAUGCCGCGUGCAGGAUGAAGGCCUUCGGGUUGUAAACUGCUUUUGUACGGAACGAAAAGCCCUGGGUUAAUACCCUGGGGUCAUGACGGUACCGUAAGAAUAAGCACCGGCUAACUACGUGCCAGCAGCCGCGGUAAUACGUAGGGUGCGAGCGUUAAUCGGAAUUACUGGGCGUAAAGCGUGCGCAGGCGGUGAUGUAAGACAGUUGUGAAAUCCCCGGGCUCAACCUGGGAACUGCAUCUGUGACUGCAUUGCUGGAGUGCGGCAGAGGGGGAUGGAAUUCCGCGUGUAGCAGUGAAAUGCGUAGAUAUGCGGAGGAACACCGAUGGCGAAGGCAAUCCCCUGGGCCUGCACUGACGCUCAUGCACGAAAGCGUGGGGAGCAAACAGGAUUAGAAACCCGGGUAGUCC
rnacentral:rRNA from 1 species